CAAGAAGUUACGAAGGCUCCUAAACCCUCGUGAACUAUCCUAUACGUUGCUCGGCGGCGGAUCCCUCACGGGACCGCAGCCCCGCUAUAAGGAGGUACGGGCAGCCGCCGAGGUACCCGAAACUCUGUAUUAUAGUGGUACUUCUGAGUAUAACAACAAAUAAGUCA
rnacentral:misc_RNA from 1 species